rnacentral:ribozyme from 1 species
ACGAACGUAAAUCGUAAAAAAGUAAAAAAGCGAACGAAAAGUUAAUAAAGAGCAACGUUGCUAAUGGUCCGUUUUUUGUGUGUUUGUUUUUGUGUUUUUGUGUUUUUGUUUUUCCUAUU